rnacentral:lncRNA from 1 species
GAAAGAAGGAAACAGGAAGAAAGCCUGUAGGAAGCAGUUCUAAAAACUUGUUUCUAACCCUACAGAGUUCCAGUAUCCUUCCAUCAGGACCCUGAUUCUCCAGCCACUGCAGGCGAGGAGUGAGGAAGAUGGAGGGCGCCCACGUCUGAAGAAAUCCAUAUUCAACUUGAGAGUAGGUAUUUGUUGCUGCCAUACCAACUGUCCAUUCCGGUCUCUUCCCUUGCCAAGAACAACCAGGUUUUCCUUUGGAGAAUCGGUCUUCUCCCGGUGGGACAUCUGGGUUGUCAUGUGGACAGCUGAAAAUGUUAGCUCUAAGGGGAAAUGUCUGCAUCAGUCCUGCGCACCUUGGUAUCUCUGAAGCCCAGCGUAUGACAGGUGAUCAACAAACACAGCUAAAUGAAUAACAAGUGAAUGUAAGUCUAUUCAGUUCUCUGAAUUCUUAUGAUGUUUUAUUAUAAUU